UUCAUGAGGAUGAAGAUGAGAACAUUGCUAUGGGCUCCAGCAUGGUGCAAAGCAUUUUGGGAACUGAGCACCAGCACUUGUAUCCUAAAAUCCUCCAUUUGGUGAUGGCCGAUGGAGCUUACCAGGAAGAUAAUGAUGAAUAGAAGUUAUUCAUCCGUGCCGUUGGCAGCCUUGGACAAUCUGCUGGCAGGCUGAAGUAUUCCCAUGAUGCACUCUGACAGGCUGAGGAGGUGCAUGUGGAGGAAGGGGGAUUGAGAGAGAGAGGGGGUAAAAAGAGAAA